rnacentral:lncRNA from 1 species
UGGCCGUUGUAGUGUCAAAACCACCUUUUGCCAUUUGUCAGGUCUGGGCUCAGAGACUGGCCGAACGGUUGGAGGUGGCUCUCAAAGUCAAAGUCUGGGCAAGAUUAAUGUUUCACAUAUGUGACACCAAUUUUAUUUCUUGGCAUGUCAGGUUCCAGAAGUGACGGUGGUGACAGCGUCUGACUCGGAAAAAUCAGGUGAACAGAACGCCCUCACCCUUUUGAGGAUGGGGAGUUGUGGCAGAGGUCAGCGCUGACCUGUGUGAUACUUCUCACUGGUGCUGGUUAUUGAUUUUUUUUUUUUUUUUUUAAAUUGCUGAUGGUGAAGAGAAACCUGAUGACUGUAGGAACGUCCAAGAUAGCUGAUGUAUUGCUUUUUUUGUCAACAGGAGGUUUUAAAUUGGAAGAAAAAAGAUUCAGAUUAGACCUCAGGAAGAAAUUUUUGACUCUGAGGGUGGUGAGAGCCUGGCCCAGGUUGCCCAGAGAAGCUGUGGAUGUCCCAUCCCUGGAGGGGUUCAAGGGCAGGUUGGAGGGGGCUUGGAGCAACCUGGUCUGGUGGGAGGUGUCCCUGCCCAGGGCAGGGGGGUUGGAACCAAUGAUCUUUGAGGUCCCUUCAACCCAAAACAUUCGCUGAUUCUUUCUUCUCUCUUUCUUUCUUCCUUUCUUUCUUCUUCGCUGAUGCUUCCUGCCUGCCUGCUGCCGCCCGUCGUCGCCGCGGGUUUGUCCUCCUUCCAUUAAAAUGCUGUUAUUUGAGUUUCAAUUAAAGGUGCCUAUUUAUUGGUUUGUUCCUGUUUUCAUAAUGGUAGUACUUUUCCAGUUAUAACAAGUUAAUGAUUUGUUCUGGCUGCCUUGUCAAAUAUAGGACUUAAAUAUACCUUUGUCCAUGAUAAGUGCUUAAAUAAUACUGUUGACUUUAUUCUUGUGCUGUUUCCAUGUCAUAAGUUUUAAGCAACAGCUUUCUUUGUUCAUAUUCAUUUUAGAGGUCGUAUAAAUUACUUGAUAAUUUUCUGACUAUAUAUUGUUCAUUUGAAUUGUGGUUAAUAACAAAGCUGACUCAUUUUGUGCUGACAUCUGAAAAGCAGACUACGUAAAGUGGAAUGCAAGUGCAAUAAUAAAAGAUCUUGGUAUCUCUGAACUUGAGAGAUG